rnacentral:rRNA from 1 species
UACGUAGGGUGCGAGCGUUAAUCGGAAUUACUGGGCGUAAAGCGUGCGUAGUCGGCCAUUCAAGUCGGGUGUGAAAGCCCCGGGCUCAACCUGGGAAUUGCAUUCGAUACUGUGUGGCUAGAGUUCGGCAGAGGGAAGUGGAAUUUCUGGUGUAGCGGUGAAAUGCGUAGAUAUCAGAAGGAACAUCAGUGGCGAAAGCGACUUCCUGGACCAGAACUGACGAUCAGGCACGAAAGCGUGGGGAGCAAACAGG